AUAUUUGUGUGCAAAGUUGGCAUCACUACAUAUGCUCAGCUGUUUGUACUUUUAUCUCUUAACAUACUUUAGUUGGUGCUAAAAAUGUUCUUUUUAUAAUUCACCAAAGCAAUUAGGUAUUUGAAAAGAAAUGGGAAAAACAACUUCAACUGAGCGAAUGCGGAAGCAUUGGCAAAAGUGGAAAGACGACCAAGAAUUUUAUGAUAAGAAAUGGAAAGGGACAAGAUGCGUAGAGAAAAUGUGAAGGCUAAAGAGAUGAAAUCAGUUAAGUUGAAGGCAGCAAACAGACGUAAGGAAGCUGAAAGGAAAAGGAAAAAUAGGCAAAAGAUAAAGAAAGACUUGCGUGUUCCUAUUGAUACGACAGACCUGGGCUCUUAUUUGUGUGUGCAAUCUCUUGGCAAAGCUGUGAGAAAAGUUAAGAACUCAUUUCCGAAAAGCCCAACUAAAAAAUCUGUAGUAAUAAAAAAAAUUAGUAUUUAUCAGUUUCCCUGAAACAGCUAAAAAUAUUUUUUCUCACAAUGAAAAUAGAAACAUAUCAGCCCAACAUGCUUUGCCACCACAGCAAAUAGCUCAGAUUCAAUCAUUUUUCGAAAGAGAUGAUGUAAGUCACCAAUCUCCAGGCAUAAAAGAUGUUAAGUCUGGAAAAAAUUCACAGUCUGGAAAAAAGGAAUUGUACCAGAAACGAUUCAUAAACAUGACCGUGAAAGAAGCAUAUAACUUAGCUUCUUUGUGUCUGAGAACCCUCAUGUGAAAGUUAAACUCAAAAUUUUAUGAAUUACGGCCAGCUCACGUUAUUUUAACAAGUGAAAUUUCCCAUAACUUUUGCGUUUGUAAAUAUCAUGCAAACUUCAUGUAGGUACCUCGUGGAAGCUCUUAGUAAGCGAGGUAAAGACUUUCCGAAAAAUUCAUCGGAACUUCUAGAAUGUGUUUGCUGUGAUGUAAAAAGUGAAUCAUGUAUGACAGGUAAAUGUAACGGUUGCAAAGCAGCUCACUGAUUUAUGAUGUUGACCUCCAUACCAAGAUUAUCUGGAAAGAAUGGAUCGAAAUAGAAAUAGACCUAAAUUAGUGGAAAUUGAAGGAACUAUUGAAGCAGCUAUUUCCAAGUUGAAUUCACAGCUGGGCCACUUCAAGAAUCAUGUUUUUGUUAAGCGAACUCAGUCUCAAAAAUUUAAUAACAUGAAGGAAACCCUUAAGGCAGGCGAGGCUGUAUUGCAAAUAGAUUUUGCCGAAAUUUUUUCUGCAGUUCAUCAAGAUGAAAUCCAGUCAGCGCAUUGAAGCCACAAGCAGAUAACAAUAUUUACUGCUUGUGCAUGGCUUCCAGAUGGAGAAAAACGUACCUUCGCACCUGUGAGUGACUCUCUGAAUCACGACAAGUUUGCUGUUUAUGCGUACCUCAAACGAAUUGUAAGUUUAUUAAACCAGGAGUUUAGUUUACAUACCAUCAAGAUAUUUUCUGAUGGUUCAGCAGCCCAAUUUAAGACUAAGUACACAAUUUCAAACCUUACUCACACGAAAGAAGACUUUGGUGUCAUGUGCCAGUGGUUUUUCUUUGCCACUCCCCAUGGCAAAGGAGCUGUAGAUGGAGUAGGGGCUGUAUGGAGCAGAGUGAAGCAGCGAAAAUUACAAGUGCAAAAUGCAGAAGAUUUUGUAACAGCAGCAAUAUCCACAGUAAAAUAUGUUAAAAUACUGCAUGUCACUCAAUCAGAGUUUGAAGAACACGUCGAAAAGCUAAAUGCACGAUGGAAAAAUGUGAUUGCAAUACAGGGGCUACAGUCGCUUCAUUUUUUAGAAGGUCAUGAUAAUGGACAUUUGAUUGUUGGGCACACAUUUCAUUCUGAACAUAUGAAAAGUCAAAUCUUCAAACUAGAAGUCUCGGAAGUCUUCACUGAUUUUGAACCAGACAGUCCAGAAGAAAUUAUGCAGUUAACUGCAAGUUCAAGCAAAGCCACCUUCUUCAGUUUCUGAAAUAGUAGUUGGGCCUUUUUACUUGUUAAAUUCACAGCCACUUCAAGAAAGACUAAUAAUCAAGAAUACAGAUAUGCUGGUAUAGCACAGACUUCCACUGAAGAUGACUGCUCGGUAAAAGUAAUGUUUUUGAGACUCUUUGACAACAGCAAGUAGGUAACUGUUUAAAACUAAUGAAAAUGAUAUUUCUUUUGUUAGCUAUGAUGAUGUUAUUUCAGUGCUACCUACACCAGUACUGAAGAAAGUUAGAAACAGUGUUUUCUACCAAUUUCCUGCAGUUGUUGAUGUAUGUGAAUCAGCAUAAUGUGUGAAGUAGGACAUAGAAAAAAAAAAAGAAUUUUUCAAAAAUAUAAUAUGUAAGUAAGAAUAAUAUGUUGCUAAUGUGUUUUUUUUUUUUGUUUGACAUUAAGUGUAUGAAUUUACUGUGCAUUAUGUAGUCAGGUCUCGCCCAUUUCACAAAAUGUCCCACCCAUGACAUUAAAAAUUUUAAGUAUUUGGUUUAAUGUUAAUAAUCUACCUUGUUUCUUUUAGUACUGUAGCAGUGUAUGUCGCAAACUUUUCCCUUUGCAGAAUUCUAUAUAUAAAUCAUACAGUCCUCUAAUAUUCACAGAAUUUAUAAUAAACAUCCCAACAUGUGGGAAGGUAUGUCUUUUUUUUGUCCCGCCUGUGACGCAAGCUUGAAUAUUUAAUAGGUAACUAAGUUUGAAUGAAUGUCAUUUGUAAAUUAAACCAGGCAUAUUGCAGUACUAUGUUUAUAGUUUUAUGUCAUACGCUUGAAGAGUAAAUAAACCUCACAGGAUGAUAGUUUUACAUACUUUUAACUAUAAAAUUGUACUACAAGUGUCCCACCUGACACUGGAAUGCCCCAUCAGUAAGUUCACUGUGUGUGUAAAGGUUUUGAUACUACAUAUAUUUAGUGUGGAAUUUUAUUAAUAAUGAAAAUAGAUUUGUACACAAUCUCACCCCUCCUAAAGAUGUCUGCAGAACCCGAAGAUCAAGUUACAGCUAGUAUCUAACAGUCGGAGGGUGAAAACGAACAGGCCAAUUUACUGUGGAAAACCGUCUAAGCUACAUUACCUAAUAAAGAAAAAAUAAA